UCUACACCCUUUGUGACAUACCUACAACUGUUGCUUCGGCGGGUAGGGUCCCCGUGACCCUCCCGGCCUCCCGCCCCCCCGGGCGGGUCGGCGCCCGCCGGAGGAUAACCAAACUCUGAUUUAACGACGUUUCUUCUGAGUGGUACAAGCAAAUAAUCAAAACUUUUAACAACGGAUCUCUUGGUUCUGGCAUCGAUGAAGAACGCAGCGAAAUGCGAUAAGUAAUGUGAAUUGCAGAAUUCAGUGAAUCAUCGAAUCUUUGAACGCACAUUGCGCCCGCCAGCAUUCUGGCGGGCAUGCCUGUUCGAGCGUCAUUUCAACCCUCAAGCUCUGCUUGGUGUUGGGGCCCUACAGCUGAUGUAGGCCCUCAAAGGUAGUGGCGGACCCUCCCGGAGCCUCCUUUGCGUAGUAACUUUACGUCUCGCACUGGGAUCCGGAGGGACUCUUGCCGUAAAACCCCCCAAUUUUCCAAAGGUUGACCUCGGAUCAGGUAGGAAUACCCGCUGAACUUAAGCAUAUCAAUAARGSCGGAGGAA
rnacentral:rRNA from 1 species